rnacentral:rRNA from 1 species
CAAAUUCCUACGGGAGGCAGCAGUAAGGCAUUUUCGGCAAUGGAGGAAACUCUGACCGAGCAACGCCGCGUGAACGAUGAAGUAUUUAGGUAUGUAAAGUUCUUUUAUUAAAGAAGAAAAAGUGAUGGAAAAAUCAUUCUGACGGUAUUUAAUGAAUAAGCCCCGGCUAACUAUGUGCCAGCAGCUGCGGUAAUACAUGGGGGGCAAGCGUUAUCCGGAUUUAUUGGGCGUAAAGGGUGCGUAGGCGGUUUAAUAAGUCUAUGGUCUAAGUUCAACGCUUAACGUUGUGAUGCUAUAGAAACUGUUUGACUAGAGUUGGAUAGAGGCAAGUGGAAUUCCAUGUGUAGCGGUAAAAUGCGUAAAGAUAUGGAGGAACACCAGUAGCGAAGGCGGCUUGCUGGGUCUUAACUGACGCUGAGGCACGAAAGCGUGGGGAGCAAACAGGAUUAGAUACCCUGGUAGUCCACGCCGUAAACGAUGAGUACUAAGUGUUGGGUUAAACCAUGCUGAAGUUAACGCAUUAAGUACUCCGCCUGAGUAGACGUACGCAAGUAUGAAACUUAAAGGAAUUGACGGGACUCCGCACAAGCGGUGGAUCAUGUUGUUUAAUUCGAAGAUACACGAAAAACUUACCAGGUCUUGAAUACUCUGCAAAGCUAUAGAAAUAUAGUGGAGGUUAUCAGGGAUACAGGUGGUGCAUGGUUGUCGUCAGCUCGUGUCGUGAGAUGUUGGGUUAAGUCCCGCAACGAGCGCAACCCUUAUCGCUAGUUACCAUCAUUUAGUUGGGCACUUUAGUGAGACUGCCAAUGAUAAAUUGGAGGAAGGUGGGGAUUACG